rnacentral:rRNA from 1 species
CAGUAGCCGCGGUAAUACGUAGGUGGCAAGCGUUGUCCGGAUUUACUGGGCGUAAAGCGCGCGCAGGCGGAUGGUUAAGUAGGAAGUGAAAGGUUGGAGCUCAACUCCAACAUUGCUCCCUAUACUGGCCGUCUUGAGUCCCGGAGAGGAAAGCGGAACGACACGUGGAGCGGUGAAAUGCGUUGAUAUGUGUCGGAACACCAAUGGCGAAGGCAGCCUUCUGGACGGGUACUGACGCUCAGGCGCGAAAGCCGAGGUAGCGAACAGGAUUAGAUACCCCAGUAGUCCCUGUCUCUUAUAC